rnacentral:tRNA from 1 species
UUUUGAGUAGCUUAAAUUAUAGAGUGUAACGUUGAAGGUGUUAAGGUGGUUAUUAACCCUUAAAUA